rnacentral:lncRNA from 1 species
ACAUCAUUAACCUGCAAAAAGUUUGUGUUUGCAAGAUUGAGCUCGACAGCCCAGCAAAUUUAACAGUCUAUCAUGUUUCACAUAGCACACAAUUCCAUAUGCACUAUAUUUCCUUUACUAUGCAUAUCCGCAUAAAACAUAUAUUCUUUACUAUGCAUAUCCUACAUGCGUCAAUAAUUUCUUACAAAACAUACAUUCAUGCAUUAUACAUUUCUAAUUUAUUGAGUUACAUCAUACAACAUGUGCUAUCACAUAUCACAUAUAAAUUGAGUUCCAUAACCCAAUUAACUUAGUCAUAUUUAGACUUUAACAAUUCAUAAAGCAUGAUAUGUAACUCACCACAUAAUCACAUUUAAUCCACAAACAUAAUAGAACUGAAAAACUUGUCUUGAUUGGAGAUUACCACAAAAGUUAACCUAGAAUUUCUCCACAAUUCCUACAGAAUUAUAUUUACAUGUACACACAUAUUAGAUAAUUGAAUAUGUUACAAAAACAUGCAUGUAUAUUCAUCAAUAACAAUUAUUAGUUUUAGACAAACUACUAUUAUUUAUUCUUACUCAAAACGAAUAUUAGUUUAUUUAGAAACUUAAUUCGUUUUAACAUUUUUACACCAAAUAAAGGUCCCUCAUAUUUUAGUAUGUAAAUAUUUUACACUUUGAAGCAUCAAUCGUUUAUAUUCCACUUUAGGAAUAUCUUAUGCCUUUACUCAUUAAUUCGGGACUUAAACAGCUAAUAAAUAGCUUUAUAGUAAAAUUCAAUUUACUAUAUUAUUCCUUUAAUAUAAAUAAUUUUUAUAUUAUUAUUUUGCCCACUCAUGAGUCAACUCGGACCAUUGUCUCAUUUAUAAACAUUCUAUCCCGCUAACACACUUACUGCAUUUUUCGUUUCGCAAAUAUUCACAUUUUCACUAUAUAUAUUUAUAUAUUAAGUAUAUAUAAAUCUUAGCUCUAAAUUCCAUUUUGAUCCCCGCAAAUCUUCAUUGCAUCACUUUUAUGAUUAUUACAACUUUUUAAUGGUUCUAUACUUUUUGUUUCGUUAUAAAAUCAUUUUUCAUGUCAAUUCCGGCUUACAUUUGCUUAAAUAUGCAAAUUCACAUUUAUAUAAUAUUUUUAUUGCAUUAUUUAUGUCCGAAAGAAAAUUUCAUGACGUAACAUAUCACAUACAGUCAAAUAUCUUCUCUUGAACUUUUAUUAGAUAUAAUAUUGUCUUAAAUUUAGCCCAAACACACUUUGGAACGACGAAUGUCAAAACAGCCCAUCAUGACUACAUUCGGCGUCGCCCAAAUUGUAGUUCUGACAUGCCUGUUCGCCUAUUUUUUAUUUUCAACUCAUAAGUCAUAUAACAGCGGAUUUUUUUGUAUGUUAAAGACCUCAUGGCAUAGUAUUAUAGAAAAAUUUCACACAGCGAAAACGGAUCACGGAAACUAAUCAAAACAGAUCUCAAAAUUCAUGUCGUGUAACAGCACUGCAGCGCCAGCAGCAGCAGGCGUCGGUGAACGCUGAGCGCUGCCAAGCUGCUUGGCAUACUCUGCUGCAGCACUUAACGACUUAGCCACUUUGAAACGCUUUGCUCGCUUAUCGGAUCAUUUUCAAACUUUAAUAUGCUUUUCGUAUCAUAUGAGACUAUUUUUGAAAAAUAUUAAACACCCAUUCCGGGUUCGAUAGGCAGCCCAAACAUUUCGCCAAAAGUGGACGUUCAUAAAAAUUUUUAAUUUCAUUUCAGCUUUAACCUCUCUUGCUAAAACAAUCAUAACUUUUUUGUUUCAAAACAUUUUUGAGCGAUUCUUGAGCCCACGCGAAGAUAACUUCUGGGGCUACAACUUUCAUUCUUUGACCAUUUCCAAAUUCAAAACACAGAAUUCCAGAAUAUCGUGCAAAGGGGACUGCUCCGAAUUUUUGGACAGAUUUGACGCAACUACUUUGAAAUGUCAUAACUCCUUGCUCCGAAGUCGGAAUUAGUCCGUUCCGGAGUCUAUGGAAAGCUUAUUUAGUGUACUAUAAUAUCCCAAAAGCCCAAAAGUUUUUGAAAACUCUAGCUAUCCACGAAUUUAUGUUUUAGGGUCAGCAGUUCACACAAUCUUUCGAACUUUUUGUUUUGUCUCAAAAUUGCUUCCUCUCUUGAUUUGCUUCGCUCAUAUCAUUUAAUUAGUUAUAUAUAACAUGUAUGAAUCAAACUCAAGUCUUAGCUUCACCUAACUAUGGGUUUUUAGGCAAAAAUUACUCUUCUAGUAAUUUAAUCGAACAUAAUGGGUGCGUCAAAAUUGUGGGUUGAUUUCAUAGCCAUUGAGUUCGGUAUUUGCCCAUAUUUUUCCUCCUUAUAACUCCACACCACAUACUAGCUCCAUAUCUCUAACUUCAUCACUCUUAGGAUGUUUCACAACUUGUAAACUCAAAAUAACAACAAGAUAUGAUGAGUUUAAGAGCUAAAAUGGAAGGUUAGAGUUUUAAGAGCUUACUUCUUGGAUUUCCUUCCUCUAAGAUGUUAGAUGAUGUGCUAGGACCUGCUAGAAUCUGAUUUCCUUUCUCCUUGAACACUCCCGUAGCUUAAAUCAAGUAAAAUCAGUCCACCCAUUUCUUUCUCUCACUAGAAAAUAUGAAUGUUUUGGGUGGAGAGGAUGAAGUAGGAUGAGUAUGGAGGUUUGUAGGAGUUUGUUCUGUUGUUUGCUUGCUUCAAUCUUGCUCAAGCCAUAUGAAUCUCUCUUCUCUUGCUCCCUCUUCACUCUCUCUGUUUUUGUUUUGCAAUAUGGGAAGGAAGAAGUUUGUCGAGGAGAAUGAAAA